rnacentral:rRNA from 1 species
GACAGAGGGUGCAAACGUUGUUCGGAAUUACUGGGCGUAAAGGGCUCGUAGGCGGCCAACUAAGUCGGACGUGAAAUCCCCAGGCUCAACCUGGGAACUGCGUCCGAUACUGGAUGGCUUGAAUCCGGGAGAGGGAUGCAGAAUUCCAGGUGUAGCGGUGAAAUGCGCAGAUAUCAGGAGGAACACCGAUGGCGAAGGCAGGUCUCUGGGCAUUAACUGACGCUGAGGAGCGAAAGCAUGGGGAGCGAACAGG